rnacentral:lncRNA from 1 species
UUUUUUCUUUCUUUUUUUUUUUUGAUGCCCCAGUUGGCUGUUCUGCUGAUUCUCGCGAUGCAGCUGAGUGUUCUUCUUUUCUUGCUCAAGAAGUCGGGAAAUCUCGUCAGGAAUCCCUUCAACAUCAUCUUCGUCCGCUUCGAAUACAGGGAAUUCAAAAUUGGGAGAUGACGUCCGAUCAUUAUGUUCAAUGGGUUUGAGAAACAACCUGCAUAAAGAUUUUGAUAUGAAAAGCUUUUUGAAAAUCAAACAAGACAAUCGUUAUGCAGAUGAAAAGAUUGCUUUUAUUCUUGUUUUUUUUUUUUAAUGUUUUUUGUGAUCACCAAUUUCAUGCAAAAAGCGAAAAGGGAAAACAAAUGGAAAAACAAAUGUUUAACAUGCAUUUAUUUGAAUGAAAAUAUCAUUGCACAAAAUGUUGCCAACAAUGUCAUUACUUCUCCUUUUGGCAUGGGAGAAGGGUUUUUAAACAAAGUGAUUGU